rnacentral:rRNA from 1 species
UAAACAUUGACAGUACAUCACACCCACUGUCCGCCCGGGAAUUACGAGCACCAGCUUAAAACCCAAAGGACUUGGCGGUGCUUUAGACCCACCUAGAGGAGCCUGUCCUAGAACUGAUAAUCCCCGUUAAACCUCACCCUUCCUUGCUUUUUCCGCUUAUAUACCACCGUCGCCAGCUUACCCUUUGAGGGACUAAUAGUAAGCAAAAUCGGUACAACCCAGAACGUCAGGUCGAGGUGUAGCGUAUGGAGGGGGAAGAGAUGGGCUACAUUCACUAGCACAGUGAAUACGAAUGAUCACUCUGAAACGAGUAUCUGAAGGAGGAUUUAGCAGUAAGCAAAAAGCAGAGUGUUUUGCUGAAGCCGGC